ensembl:lncRNA
CAUGGGCCGAUCGGGACCCGCCUGUUCUGACUCGGUUCUGUCCUCCUCAGGCUGUGGACACAGGCAGCUACAGGUGGAGCAGCUAUGAUGAUGAUGAUCCUGGGUGUGGUCGCACACUAAGUUCAGAGCGAUCGCUACACAAACGGGCCACGCCCGGCGUACGCCCUGAAGGCAGCACAAACCUCCUGCACUGAGCUGAACCGCAGCCACCGGACACAAUGGGCCUCGGCGGCGACCGAUUAUUGAUGGCCUCCCAUUCUCUUUGGCCGGGCAAAGAGGAAACACAGACCCCUGCAAAGAGCGAAACAACAUCGCAGCCCCUGAGGCAGGUGACCAGGUGAAAGACUGCGUGUCUGCGUGUGCGAGGGGGAGAGGCGGCUUCUGAGCCCCUGUUGGAGUUUUGGUAGUUACGCUGACAGAGGCAGAAAGAGGGGGAAGAGGAAAAGCAGGGAAAGGAUUCAUUUUCUCCGGACGCACUGGACCUUAUUUCCUUCUCAUUCUCUUCUCUCUUUCAAUCUCUGUCUCCAUCUCUGCUCUCCCCGAGCUACAAGAACAUGCACACAGAUGUUUCGGGUCUCACGCUCAGCUGUAUUAUCUCGUAAAGCGCCAUUAAUAGACUUUAAUUCAAUUUAAUAGUGCUUCAUUACAGUACACUAUAAAAAGAAGCUGUAGCAAAAGCAUCUCAUUAACCUUAGCCCUAUAAUUAAAAAUAGCAGAAGACUGAAAGAGCAACACACAAAAUAAUAGUAAUAGUAAAAUCAUAUUAUGAACACUAUCAUGACUUUAAAGGGCCAUUAAGGACAUUUAUAAAGUCCUUCAGCCUGUAUGAACGGAGCAAAGUCACGCUAAUACUGUCUGACUGCGAUACAGGAGCACAAUCACCGAUCUCCAUACGUCCAACAUGCAGAGGAAGCGUCGGAGCAGCGAGUCUGUGUGAGCUGGUAGAAAUGUGUGAGACUCAAAGCUGAACCGUCUCUGUUCAGACAUUGUCUUUCUGUUAAUCUUUACAAACACACAAUUAAACAAAUAUCACAACUGAUUUUAAAGAUUUCCAAAGUCCACUCUGUGUCAGCAAACAAACAAAAGGCCUGAAGCAACGUUGUGGAUCGUGGCUCCAUCAUCUCAAUCGCCAGUCUGAGUAACAGGAUGACGAUUCCGUACUGAUACCAAGAAAACGGGCCAGUUUAGGUGUUUGGUGUCAUUUGUUGAAACACGUCC